rnacentral:rRNA from 1 species
UACGAGUGGUGCAAGCGUUGUUCGGAAUCACUGGGCAUAAAGCGCGCGCAGGCGGCGACGCAAGUCAGUUGUGAAAUCCCCCGGCUCAACCGGGGAACUGCAACUGAAACUAUGUUGCUGGAGUAUGGGAGGGGAGAGCGGAAUUCCUGGUGGAGCGGUGAAAUGCGUAGAUAUCAGGAGGAACGCCAGAGGCGAAAGCGGCUCUCUGGUCCACUACUGACGCUGAGGCGCGAAAGCUAGGGGAGCAAACAGG